ACGUACAUUCUGCAACAAAGAGGCAUUUGAAUUGGCUUGGUGAAUUUGUGGCUCCUCUUUUCUUUUUCCCGUUUUCUCCGACUGGUAUAUGUACGACUUAGGCGAAUGAAAAAUGACUAGGCGGAAAUAUUUGAAAGCGAACAGAAAGUGGAGAUUGUGGAUAGGAGAGGAAAAGAGGGCGUUGCAGAGGAGAAAGGUUUACGAAUAAAUAUUCCACACUAUUUAACUGUACUAUUUGACUGCGAGAAAAAUUCAUGAUCGUCAAUUGUAAAUUGUACGUUUAUAUCGAGAUUUAUAUCGAGUAUGUUGAGAUUGAAACUUAAUAUCCAGCAGAUGUGAAGGCACUUUGAGCAAAGUACUGCAGAAACGGAUUAACUAUUUUAUAAACUAUGUAUAAAACGUGAUACAGAGAAUGGGAUAAAAGUGAAAUCGCGGAAUGAAUGGAGGACUCUUUCCGGCUGGGGUACGCUAAUCGCCAGUCUCUGAAUCAUCGCCGUGCUCGAAGAAGGAGCAAACGUUCCUUGGUCGCCGCUUAAAAAUCGCCGAGACGACGAUGAGACGGUGCGUAAAAGAAGAAAGCGACGGGGCGAGAGAGAGAGAGAGAGAGAGAGAGAGAGAGAGAGAGAAAGGAAAGCGGCAGAAGGCGAUCUGAAAGAAGGAAAAAGAAAGCGAGCACCAUUCUCGCAAGGCCGUUGCCUCGUUUAACAGUGACGUGGAUUCACCUUCUUCCGCUAAGAUAAAAAGAAACCGAGGGAAAAGUCAGCUAGGUCCGUGUAUGACUGUUAGGCGCAACGACGUCCUUUUCUUUUUCAGCGUAAAAAUAAAUACUCGACCGUGCCCGCGCCGAAAAUAACCUGCACUCUUUCUGUCGGAUUAUGCGACUUAUCGUCGCUUCUAAGAAACCGCUUCCAUCCCCUCCAUCGAGCGUAUCACGCGCCCGGUAACCGAGCGAUUCGUGCGCGUUACACCUCGACACGAAGAAGUUUCUCGAGACCGGAAUACAGCAAUCGCUUUAUGGGAAGCGUGGCGCCGCCUCGCGUGCUACGCAUCACGUGACAGCCAGUGGAUAAGCAGCCAUCCCUACACGUCGAAUCGAUAAUUUUCGAUAUUUUGUUGGUAUUUUAUAUCAAGGUGAAUCACAAAUGCAACUCGCCAUUGCGAGUCAAGGACCAUAAGAAAAUAGAUCAUAAUUGAGUUGUCAUAAGAAGAUGAAGGUUAGCGGAUCAUAUAUUAAAUAAUAACGGGAAGAAUUCCAACUAUACGAUACAAAGUCUACUGUAACGAUCAACAGACGAGAAUGCGUCUAAAGUCAAAAAUAAAACGUAAUAGAUUAUACGCUGAUCAACCGAAGUACGUGGAAUUCUUCAGCAGCGUACCAACGAACCUAUUAGCCGAGCAACGGUACAAAUCACGGUUGAAUCCAUCCAGAACCUCAAUACGAUGCAAGCGUCGCGACGCUACACGUUUCAACGAACGGGGAAACGAAAGGAGAUCGGGUCUCUUUGGAUUCGUCCAGUCGUUCCGUUUGCUUCAAAUGUGCACACAUUCGACAGAGAAAGAGAGGAAGAAAGAUACACAGUAAGGCUCGUUGCGCGAGGUCGUUGCACCGUGUGUACUAAGUCGUUCUAAGCGCAUGGUCGGUCCUAAGCAACCAGGAGAGUCUGAGAGAAGAGAGCCUCGAUACGCCACCGCAUCGCAAAUAUGCGAGUCCAGUGCUACCUCGCCCUUUAUGCGGCAGUGUUCAUAUGUCAUCGAUACUGUUCAGUUCAUCGUUCAAUUCAUCCCAGGUAUAACUCCUUUCUCUUCGUUCUGUGUGUAUGCGCCGGCCUUUAUUGCCGAUUGCAAACAGGCUUCUGUGUACCAAAGCAUUUUUGCGAUACAGAGAUCUAUGAAGGCACAACUAUGAAAAACUAUGGUUUACUAGGUUAAAGAAAAAAUGUAGAUCAGAAUCGCCACAUUCGCGAACGUAUUAAUGGCCUGAAUACAGGAUAUGGCGAGAAACAGGCAGUGUUGCCAACAAAGUCAACGAAUUCCGUCCAUUUCAUCCGGCUCGAUUUCCUUCCUCCGUUUAACACGAGACACGCCAGCAAACCGAAUAAAUCACUCGAGUAUCGAGGACAAAGCCAGAGAACGAAUUAAUCCCGCCACUGCGCUAUGAGGGACAUCGAAAUCGGAGGAAAGCUUCAGGGAGAACCGUUGCCGUGUCGGCGCACCGCGCGUGCACGGUCGACGCUCUUUAUCGUUUCGAUCUGACAUUCUCCUAAUGGACCUCUUCUCUUCCUCGGCUCGCGCCCUCUUAACGCCCGUUUCUCUAGAAUUCGUAACGCGAUACGUAGUGCGAAACGCGCCGAUAAGUCGUUUCACAGAGAACAUAAAAUUUCACAUUUAAUAAUAUUGUUAGAUUUUUACCAUAGACUUUACUCUUUCUAUACUAAUUGUCUUUAUAUAUAUGUAUAUUUUUUAUAGAAGUUUCUCCUUGCUCUGUUAUUUGAAGUUGCAGCGCUAUAGAAAUACUCCAUUGCCCUUACCGCAUAAGUCUAAGCUCAUGGGAAGGAAUGUAACAACGGAUAGGGCGGGAGCAUAGGCGUCAAAUCUCGCUAAACGUUUAAUCUAUUAUUGGAAGGAUGAGAAUAGGACGUCGUAGCGGAGUGGACGACGCGAUGGACGACGGAGUAUAGAGUGUGGCCGAUGCUAAUUUGGCCCAUAUACUAACGUUUCAUAGACCGUUAACUCCGUUGCUGUAACUUAUGAACUGUGAAAUUUUGUGCGCUUUAUCUCGAGCCAGUGAACCGACCGCGCUUAGCGCAGCAACAGCUUCCUUGGCUAUUUCGCGGAACACUAAACGCGCCCUCUCGGUGAACCAAUCAGAAAUUCAAUGGCCUGCCCCAUGGUGGCGUUCCGCUGUUUUUCCUUGUACAUGCAUAAUGGCGCUUUUGUGGCCGUCCCGCGGUCUUAACACGUAACAAAAUUAAGGAUGCUAGCGGAGAACAGCCGCGUAGAGGGCGUUCACGCGAAUUACCGAGACAUUUGCAUAAAUGGAUUAGCAUAAAUUAAACCGAAUGGAAAAGCGUCGAGGCUGCGUCCGUAAAUUGGCCGCGAUUUGCAUAAACGGAGAAGGCCUUCUCGCGUAACGCGUUCCUCUCUUCCCCUUUCGGUUCGCAGAAAAAUCGUACGGACACGACACGACGAAAGUCGACGAGUGCAGUCGUAAAAAAGGAGCAGCCACUCAAACGGCGUAUAACACUACUACGACGACAACCAGGGCCAUCCUGAGAGCCGACGACGUAAUACGGCGUUUGGGUUGAGACACGUAAUGAAAACAGGCGUCCUCAAACGGUUGAGUGUCGGCCGUUUCGAGCAGCGCAAAAACAGGAGGAGACGCUCUUGCUGGCGACACCAGUUACGACGUCGUGUUUAAGACGGGUUACUGCAAGGUCAAUAUUAAUUACCGUUUUUAGAUCAAAGAUGGCGUUAUUACACAUUCGAAUGAACCAAGGCAAGUAAUUUUAGUCACAGGAUAAUUUGAUGUAUUUAAAGUUCGAGCAUCAUCCGUUGACGAUUCAUUCCUCCUAGCUUUAGCUUUCAGCGAAUCUCAUCAAGAAUUCUAGGAACACUGUUUCUGCCACUAUUCUGAGCCACGUAGUCAGUCUAGGAUAACGAUGAACGCGUGGCGCUUCUAACUGAGGAGUUCGAUGAACCGCGAUGAAUCCUCAACCGGGAUUCAUUUAGGAAAAAUACGACAGGAUAGACUACUGUUAAUCCUAAAAUAUCUAAGGCGUCGACCGUUGACUCGGCCUGUCCAAUGUCGGAAGAUUGGACACGUUACCCCGACUUUUGCUUCCACAAAACCGUUCUUGCCCGCAAAACGUCGUUAAAGCCAGACCGACGACUAUCUUACGCACGACGAAAGAAGCUUGCUCCAAAUUCUCCACGGUAAAACAUUUACCCUGACUUUAUUCCUCCUGCUAUUCAAUAAACUGAACGAGAA